AGCAGCCGCGGUAAUUCCAGCUCCAAUAGCGUAUAUUAAAGUUGUUGCAGUUAAAAAGCUCGUAGUUGAAUUUCGAGAUCAGUACGCUGGUCGUGCCUUCGGUAUGCACUGGUGUCACUGGUUUCUCCCUUCUGAAGAACCGUCAUGUCAUUAAGUUGGUGUGGCGGGGAAUCAGGACUGUUACUUUGAAAAAAUUAGAGUGUUUAAAGCAGGCUCGCGCUUGAAUACAUUAGCAUGGAAUAAUGAAAUAGGACGUUUGACCCUAUUUUGUUGGUUUCUAGGAUCGACGUAAUGAUUAAUAGGGAUAGUUGGGGGCAUUAGUAUUCAAUUGUCAGAGGUGAAAUUCUUGGAUUUAUUGAAGACUAACUACUGCGAAAGCAUUUGCCAAGGAUGUUUUCAUUAAUCAAGAACGAAAGUUAGGGGAUCGAAGACGAUCAGAUACCGUCGUAGUCUUAACCAUAAACUAUGCCGACUAGGGAUCGGAUGAUGUUAAUUUUUUAAUGA
rnacentral:rRNA from 1 species